rnacentral:rRNA from 1 species
AUUGAACGCUGGCGGCAUGCCUUACACAUGCAAGUCGAACGGCAGCACGGGAGCAAUCCUGGUGGCGAGUGGCGAACGGGUGAGUAAUAUAUCGGAACGUGCCCAGUCGUGGGGGAUAACGUAGCGAAAGCUACACUAAUACCGCAUACGAUCUAUGGAUGAAAGCGGGGGAUCGCAAGACCUCGCGCGAUUGGAGCGGCCGAUAUCAGAUUAGGUAGUUGGUGAGGUAAAGGCUCACCAAGCCGACGAUCUGUAGCUGGUCUGAGAGGACGACCCAGCCACACUGGGACUGAGACACGGCCCAGACUCCUACGGGAGGCAGCAGUGGGGAAUUUUGGACAAUGGGCGCAAGCCUGAUCCAGCAAUGCCGCGUGCAGGAUGAAGGCCUUCGGGUUGUAAACUGCUUUUGUACCGGAACGAAACCGGUGAGCUCCUAAUACAGUUUGCCAAUGACGGUACCGUAAGAAUAAGCACCGGCUAACUACGUG